CAUGAGAUCGCUAAAAACAAAAGGUAUCACAGAUUCUCAGAGCAGAAAGGAAAAGGAUUUUGGAGCAUCCUACAGAUUUUCAUUUUUCAAAACUUACGUGUCGAUCUCUAUAACCCACACAAGCAAGGACUGUGUAACCUUUUUAUGACAAACAAAGGGUCCUUGUGGGCAAGAGUGAGGUGGCCCUAGGGCGUGUGGCCAGAUCUGCCUGGGCCCAUUGGUUCUGCUACCUCACAGAACCCAGUGUGAGGUCACAGUUGUUAGCUAUAUAAGGCCGAGGCUCAGGUGGAUCGCUUGUGGGUGACCUAGGAGUUGGACGGCGAGUGUUGGUGGUGAUUUGGUGAUCGGGUUGGUGGUGUGGAGAGUGGAGCUUCUGUUUCCAUCGAGAUCUACAGGGUGGGUAGUGCCAUGAGGGAACAUCUUGGCUGGACUUCACCGACAUGUCCAGCAGUCAGCCUCCAGGAAAACUAUGAGGUGCUGGCCCGCUUUGACAAAGGCGGCUUUGGUAGGAUCUUCCUGUGGCACGGGGAUGCUGGUCGCUGUGAAGGAGUUAGAGAAGGCAACGAUGCCAGCAGCCUGCAUUACAUCGGAGGUAGAGAUCCUGCAGGACCUUGAGCACCCUAACCUUGUACAGCUACUGGAGGUCAUCAAAACCAAGAACGAAGUAUACCUGGUCCUAGAGUAUGCGGACGGGGGGGAAACCUGCAGCAACGGAUCCUCAGGACUGAAAACCACAGGCUGCCGGAGGAGGAGGCCCGAGGGAUAUUUCGGGAUAUCAUGGGAGCCGUGGAUUACUGUCAUGCCCAGGGAAUUGUACACGGGGACCUCAAACCCAAAAAUGUUCUCAUAGAUUCCCAAGGUCACGCCAAAAUCUGUGACUUUGGGGCGGGAUACCGGUUCCUCCCUGGGCAGGAGAUGGUCGUAACUCAUGGCACGCUGAAAUACUGUGCCCCAGAGCGGCUCUUGUCUGGGUGGUAUGAAGGCCGUCCCCUGGAUGUUUGGGCCCUUGGAGUUUUAUUAUAUGAAAUCCUCACGGGGCAGCUCCCGCUUAAUGGGGCUAAAAUAGAGAUGGUCCGAACUAUGCUAUCUGGGAGGUACUCUUGUCCCCAGUCCAUCUCCCCGGGAUGCACAAGAUCUCAUCCGGAACCUCCUGCACUCCAACCCCAGGAUGCGGCCCACAGUGCAGGAGGUGCUGCAGCACGCAGUGGCUCCAAGGUGUCCCACCCCUCAGUCCUCCUGAGCUCCCUAUCCCUGUAAAAACUCAUAUCCUCCACCUGAUGGACAGGAUGGGAUUUGACCCGCCCAAGGUCCUUCACUCAGUGAAUAGAAAGGCGCACAACAACGAGAUGGCCACAUUCCUGCUGUUGCAGAGGCUGGCACUCCAGGGGGUGCCCUUAAGGAUAUGCGUGAGGCCUGUGUGUGCACCUGAGAAUGAGGAUGCCCCUGAACAGGAAAUAGCAUCACCCUCAACAGCUCCUGCACCCUCAUCUCACAUCCCCCCGAGGAGUGCCAGCGCACUUGUCACCUGCAUGGGCCUCUUAUUUCCUGGGGUGAAGCCCACAGGAAGGCAGGGUGGUGGAGGCUCCCAGCCACCCAUUCCCAUCCCCAGGACCCCAACUCCUGGCAUGUCCUGCCAGCCUAGCCCUGCCGCCUGCCCAGGGUGUUCUGCCAGCCUGGCCCUGGGGCUUCCUGCUCUACCUCCAGCCCCACCUCCACCCCUAGCAGCAGAGGGAGGCAAUGCUGGAAGGCUCUGAAGAGGAGCAGCAGAGACUACCUGACAGCCCUGCUGCUGCGGCUGCCUGCCACCCUCAGGGCGCCACCAAAACAAGGUGGCCCCAAUUACAGAUCCUUGAGAAGUGACUCCGUAGAUGUGGCGAUCCUGCUCAUGGGGUAUAAGACCGAGGGCCUUACCAACACUCCAAGGAGCUGAGUGCAGUGAAGAACACCUGGGAAGGAACACACUGGACAAGUUGAAAAAUAAAACAGACCUUUAUUAGUCUGGCCAGAUGGCACUCCCAAAGC
rnacentral:lncRNA from 1 species